CGAAGGAAAACCCAUUGGCUAGCUUGGGAUAAACUCACUAAACCAAAAAGAGAGGAAGGGAUGGGUUUCCGAGUUCUUAGGUUGUUUAAUCAAACACUAUUGGCCAAACAGGCUUGGAGGUUACUGGUGAAUCCGGAUUCUUUAUGUGCUAAGAUUUUGACGGCAAAAUAUUAUCCCAAUGGUCACAUCCUGUAUACUGCUUUCCCCGCAGGCUACAUCCGUGAAUUGGCAGGGUAUUAUGCAUGGACUGGAUCUCCUAAAAAAAGGGGUCAUCUAGAGAGUGGUCGAUGGAAAAAAUGUUAA
rnacentral:rRNA from 1 species